GCUCUGUGGACCUCUGACGGCUCAGACUGAGAGGCUGACGUGACGUUGCAGCGUCACUGAGGGCCAGUAUAAAUGCGUCUGUAGCAGGGGAGGGGUCCACGCAGCAGCUCAUCUGAUUGGUCAGCAUCAGACCCUCCACUGUUUGUGCAGCGUCAGACAGAGUGAAACACUGUGAAUUUAGUUACUGUCUGUAACGUCUGGAUCACGUCCCACCAAACCCAAUCCUUCAGGUGUUUCUCUUCUUCUUGUGUCCCUGACACGUCUGAUGCAACUCUGGACUCCAGACUUGCUGUGUCCUCUCAGCCGGACCGGCCGGCAGAGAUAAGCUUAUGUUUGCAGCUCUGUCCAGUUCCUGUGAGUCUUGAAACACAAAAUGUUCAGCUGCUGCUCCACAAAUGAGAGUGCAGCCUCUCAGGCUUUGAGUGACUUCCACCCCUUCCCCUGGUCCAAUCAGCAGCAGGUCAUCUGCACAUACUGCCCUUUCGUUUGUAGGCUGAAUGAUCCACAGACAAAAAGAAAGCUGACUGCUUUACAGAUGUGCUGUAGCAGCUCCUCGUCACGGUCCUCUCUCUAAACGCCACAGAAAACUGAUCCUGAUCCUGAAGACGCGUCCCACGGAUCUGCCCUGCGACUAUUCGGAC